AUAGCGACCGAGACCAACGGACUUUUAAUCCGCAGGUCCCAGGUUCGAGCCCUGGUGGGG
rnacentral:tRNA from 1 species